AUUCCUGCCUCCGCGCACACAUGCGCAUGUGAGGCCUGCGUUGGCACCGCGCAAGUGGCGGCAGCCUUGCCGAAAACGAACCACACAGCACUUCCCUCGUCGCCGGCACUCUCACCAUUCGCCACGCCCACGGCGGCUUUGGUUUGCUGACAAAAGACGAAGCAUUUCUAUAUUCGGCAGAACCAGGCUCAGCAGGAAAGAUGUUUGGCAAGGCUGCAUCUGCAUCCAUCCAAGGUAGCAGACGACCUUGAUUGCUUGGCUUGGACUUGGACGCUUGGUCGGUAGAGAUCCGGAGAAAGAUAAGAUCUGGACGCCACGCAGUUGUACAGGUCUGGGUGACACGUUACGCUCGGUGUAUGGGCUGGGGAAAUGGGAUAAGGGGUGGAUAAGUUGAUCUGCAAAUAUGUGUGAUGUCCGUUUGAUGCCUACUUGCAAAUAAAUUGGUCUAGAAAGUGUCGUGUAUUGUUUGAAUCCAUCUUGCAGGUUUCGUGCCAGAUCGAUGCUGAUGAUAAGCAUGUGAAGCAGGAAAGUCUCCAAUAUGAUUGAUUGUGUAGGGAAUAUUCUUUUAGUCGGGUGCGUAUGUUGUUCUUAGAUGCCUGUCAGGUGUGGUACUGAAUGGCCAAUAAGGUUUAGGGUACGGGGUACCCCAUACAGAAAUUGGCUAGCACAAAAAUUCGGGCUGG